rnacentral:rRNA from 1 species
UACGAAGGUGGCAAGCGUUACUCGGAAUUACUAGGCGUAAAGGGCAGGUAGGUGGUUUGGUUAGUCUGUUGUGAAAGCUCCUUGCUUAACGGGGGAGAGGUCAACAGAUACUGCCAGACUUGAGUAUAGGAGAGGGUACUGGAAUUCCCGGUGUAGCGGUGAAAUGCGCAGAGAUCGGGAGGAACACCAAUGGCGAAAAGCAGGUACCUGGACUAUUACUGACACUCAGCUGCGAAAGCUAGGGGAGCAAACAGG